GUCCCGCCUGCCCUGUGACUUAAAAGUUUAACGGCCGCGGUAUUUUGACCGUGCAAAGGUAGCGCAAUCACUUGUCCUUUAAAUGAGGACCCGUAUGAAUGGCACCACGAGGGCUUAACUGUCUCCUUUCUCCUGUCAAUGAAAUUGAUCUCCCCGUGCAGAAGCGGGGAUUUACCUAUAAGACGAGAAGACCCUAUGGAGCUUUAGGCUAAAAGCAGACUAUAAGUAAAAAACUUUAAAUAAAAACAAAACUAACUAAUUCCUGCUUUAAUGCCUUUGGUUGGGGCGACCGCGGGGUAAUAAAAACCCCCCACGUGGACCAAGGAUACUAAACCCUUACAACCAAGAGACACAACCCAAAGUAACAGAACUUCUGACCAAUUAAUGAUCCGGUACAAACCGAUCAACGAACCUAGUUACCCUAGGGAUAACAGCGCAAUCCCCUUCUAGAGUCCAUAUCGACAAGGGGGUUUACGACCUCGAUGUUGGAUCAAGACAUCCUACUGGUGCAGCCGCUAUUAAGGG
rnacentral:rRNA from 1 species